CCUACGGGAGGCAGCAGUAGGGAAUCUUCCACAAUGGACGAAAGUCUGAUGGAGCAACGCCGCGUGAGUGAAGAAGGGUUUCGGCUCGUAAAGCUCUGUUGGCAGUGAAGAAAGAUAGAGGUAGUAACUGGCCUUUAUUUGACGGUAAUUGCUUAGAAAGUCACGGCUAACUACGUGCCAGCAGCCGCGGUAAUACGUAGGUGGCAAGCGUUGUCCGGAGUUAUUGGGCGUAAAGCGAGUGCAGGCGGUGCAAUAAGUCUUAGGUGAAAGCCUUGGGCUCAACCGGAGAAUGGCAUGAGAAACUAUUGAACUUGAGUGCAGAAGAGGAGAGUGGAACUCCAUGUGUAGCGGUGGAAUGCGUAGAUAUAUGGAAGAACACCAGUGGCGAAGGCGGCUCUCUGGUCGGAAACUGACGCUGAGGCGCGAAAGCAUGGGUAGCGAACAGGAUUAGAUACCCCUGUAGUC
rnacentral:rRNA from 1 species